rnacentral:rRNA from 1 species
GAUAAGGAAUGCAAGUCGGACUAUACUUUUUCGUUGUAGCAACAUAUACUGGAAAGUCUAGUGGCGAACGGGUGCUUAACACGUGGGCAACCUGCCAAGAAGUGGGGGAUAGCUCGCCGAAAGGCGAAUUAACAGACGCAUGUGAUUAGAGGAGGAAUCUUUUCAAAAUUAAAGUCGGGGCAACCUGACGCUUCUUGUGGGGCCCGCGGCCUAUCAGCUUGUUGGUGAGGUAACGGCUCACCAAGGCUUUGACGGGUAGCUGGUCUUAUACGGACGACCAGCCACACUGGGACUGAGGAACGAGCUAGGAACCUACGGGUGGCAGCAGUCUAUACAUUUUUGGAAAUGGGGGAAACCCUGAUCGAGCGACGCCGCGUGGAGGAUGAAGGUCUUCGGAUUGUAAACUCCUGUACGGGGGGGAACAAUGCACAGAUAUUAACUGUAUUUGUGUUGAUAGUACCCGAAGAGGAAUAUACCGGCUAACUCUGUGCCAGCAGCCGCGGUAACAGAAGAGGUCUCAAGCGUUGUUCGGAUUACGGGGGGCGUAAAGGGUGCGUAGGCGGCGCGGUAAGUCGGGUGUGAAAUCUCGGGGCUUAACUCCGAAACUGACGGGCGGAAGAUGCCGUGCUUGAGGACUGUAUACGGGGAGGGAAUUUACGGUGUAGCGGUGAAAUGCGUAGAUAUCGUAAGGAAGACCAGUGGCGAAGGCGGGUCUCUGGGAAGUUCCUGACGCUGAGGCACGAAGGUCAGGGGAGCAAACGGGAUUAGGAA